rnacentral:rRNA from 1 species
AGUGAACGCUGGCGGUAGGCCUAACACAUGCAAGUCGAACGGCAGCACAGUAAGAGCUUGCUCUUACGGGUGGCGAGUGGCGGACGGGAGAGGAAUACAUCGGAAUCUACUUUUUCGUGGGGGAUAACGUAGGGAAACUUACGCUAAUACCGCAUACGACCUACGGGUGAAAGCAGGGGAUCUUCGGACCUUGCGCGAUUGAAUGAGCCGAUGUCGGAUUAGCUAGUUGGCGGGGUAAAGGCCCACCAAGGCGACGAUCCGUAGCUGGUCUGAGAGGAUGAUCAGCGACACUGGAACUGGGACACGGUCCAGACUCCUACGGGAGGCAGCAGUGGGGAAUAUUGGACAGUGGGCGCAAGCCUGGUCCAGCCAUACCGCGUGGGUGAAGAAGGCCUUCGGGUUGUAAAGCCCUUUUGUUGGGAAAGAAAAGCAGCAGGUUAAUACCCCGCUGUUCUGACGGUACCCAAAGAAUAAGCACCGGCUAACUUCGUG